UUACCCCCUGUCAGUCGUGGCUUCAGUCUCCCAGUCUUGUCUUGCAAUUUUCCUGCCCUUGGUGUUUUGGAUUACCUGUGAUGGAUUUCUGUUUCGUUUCUCAUUUGGCUUUUUCUGGACUCAGCCACUCGGUAUAAGAAGCAGGCAGUAAAAGUGGAGGUACCUGGCCUCAUGCUGUUGGAGGACUGGCUAAAUGGAUCUGUGAAACUAUCAAUGCCCUUCCCUCUUUCUUUCCUCACCCCCCUCACGGAGAGCGCCCCAGCCGGUGACCCAGCAAAGUAGGUCCGGCUCCAGUAGGUGGGUGGGCGGAGGCAGACAGGCGGGUCGAGCAUGUCCAUCCAGCAGCAUGGAGGCGGGCCGGUCCAGCUUCAGGAGGGCCAAGUCAUAGUCGUGGGAAUCGUCGUCGUAGUAUUGAUGAAGGUGGAUCCGCUGAACUCGUGCCACUUCCUCAGUAGGGCUGUUACGGUUGAGCAGAAGUUUACCCAGGUAGACCGUCCACACCGACGAAACAGUGGGCGGCGGACACCACCCAUUGGCUGGAGAUUAGUGCGCCCCCGCAGAUGUGGGUACCCCGCACCUGCAGGCUGGCCUGCCAUGGCCAUUCCCCCUCCGUGGCAUUGGUUCCCCCCACAAUUCGGCUGGAGAACUGCCUCAGGCCACAGUCUGAAUAGACACACAUUAUUAUUAUUAUUAUUAUUUUGCUUUUUUGUGUGUCUAAUUCCUCCUGGUACCAAUGAGGAAAAAAAGAAAAACAAAAAGAAACAAAAGAAAAAGAACAAAGACCAAUCAAAUUAGACUUAAUUGAUUCAUUUAAUUUUUAUUAAAAAGCAGAAUGACAUUGAGCUUAAGAAAAUCUUGAGAAACCUUUCCAAGAGAACAUGAAGAUACAGACUAAACGGAAUUUAAUGAAAUAAAAAACAUGACUUCUACUGUA